rnacentral:rRNA from 1 species
AUUGAACGCUGGCGGCAGGCCUAACACAUGCAAGUCGAACGAGUGGCGGACGGGUGAGUAAUGUCUGGGAAACUGCCUGAUGGAGGGGGAUAACUACUGGAAACGGUAGCUAAUACCGCAUACCAUCAGAUGUGCCCAGAUGGGAUUAGCUUGUAGGUGGGGUAAAGGCUCAACUAGGCGACGAUCCCUAGCUGGUCUGAGAGGAUGACAAGCCACACGGGAACGGAGCAACGGUCCAGAGUCCUACGGGAGGCAUCAGUGGGGAAUAUUGCACAAUGGGCGCAAGCCUGAUGCAGCCAUGCCGCGUGUAUGAAGAAGGCCUUCGGGUUGUAAAGUACUUUCAGCGGGGAGGCGUUACCCGCAGAAGAAGCACCGGCUAACUCCGUGCCAGCAGCCGCGGUAAUAC